UACGGAGGGUGCGAGCGUUGUUCGGAAUCACUGGGCGUAAAGCGCGUGUAGGCGGCCCACUAAGUCUGAUGUGAAAGCCCGGGGCUCACCCCCCGGAAGUGCAUUGGAAACUGGUGGACUCGAGUCCCGGAGAGGAGAGUGGAAUUCCUGGUGUAGCGGUGAAAUGCGUAGAAUAUCAGGAGGAACACCGGUGGCGAAGGCGGCUC
rnacentral:rRNA from 1 species